CUACGUGCAGAAAGCGCCCCGGAAAAUUCUAGCCAUAGGCCAGGUGUACACGAUGGCUGUGCUUGGCAGUCCAGUGCGCGUCACUCUUCUCCUGGUUCUCAUUUUCUGUCUUACUAUUCACAGCGCAUACAGUCAAUGCACCGUAUGCUCUUGGAACAAUUGGGGGCCAUGGAGUUCCUGUUCUCACGCAUGUGGAAACACAGGAACAAGGACCCGUCAUCGCAGUACCAACAACUGUUGCACUACAACGAGCGAGCAAGCGCAAACGGAGCCUUGUAAUCGGUUCUGCAACAACGGCGGCACCCCGUUCGGCAGCCGCUGCAUCUGUACCCCACACUUCACAGGGCUAUGUUGUGACAUCGCCAACUC